AGUGAACGCUGGCGGUAGGCCUAACACAUGCAAGUCGAACGGUAGCACAGUAAGAGCUUGCUCUUACGGGUGGCGAGUGGCGGACGGGUGAGGAAUACAUCGGAAUCUACUUUUUCGUGGGGGAUAACGUAGGGAAACUUACGCUAAUACCGCAUACGACCUAUGGGUGAAAGCAGGGGAUCUUCGGACCUUGCGCGAUUGAAUGAGCCGAUGUCGGAUUAGCUAGUUGGCGGGGUAAAGGCCCACCAAGGCGACGAUCCGUAGCUGGUCUGAGAGGAUGAUCAGCCACACUGGAACUGAGACACGGUCCAGACUCCUACGGGAGGCAGCAGUGGGGAAUAUUGGACAAUGGGCGCAAGCCUGAUCCAGCCAUACCGCGUGGGUGAAGAAGGCCUUCGGGUUGUAAAGCCCUUUUGUUGGGAAAGAAAAGCAGCAGGUUAAUACCCCGCUGUUCUGACGGUACCCAAAGAAUAAGCACCGGCUAACUUCGUG
rnacentral:rRNA from 1 species